rnacentral:rRNA from 1 species
AUUGAACGCUGGCGGCAUGCCUUACACAUGCAAGUCGAACGGUAACGCGGGGGCAACCUUGGCGACGAGUGGCGAACGGGUGAGUAAUACAUCGGAACGUACCCAGUAGUGGGGGAUAGCUCGGCGAAAGCCGGAUUAAUACCGCAUACGACCUACGGGUGAAAGCGGGGGAUCGAAAGACCUCGCGCUAUUGGAGCGGCCGAUGUCGGAUUAGCUAGUUGGUGAGGUAAAGGCUCACCAAGGCGACGAUCCGUAGCUGGUCUGAGAGGACGACCAGCCACACUGGGACUGAGACACGGCCCAGACUCCUACGGGAGGCAGCAGUGGGGAAUUUUGGACAAUGGGCGAAAGCCUGAUCCAGCCAUGCCGCGUGUGUGAAGAAGGCCUCGGUUGUAAGU